rnacentral:rRNA from 1 species
GACGAACGCUGGCGGCGUGCCUAAUACAUGCAAGUAGGACGCACAGUUUAUACCGUAGCUUGCUACACCAUAGACUGUGAGUUGCGAACGGGUGAGUAACGCGUAGGUAACCUGCCUAUUAGAGGGGGAUAACUAUUGGAAACGAUAGCCAAUACCGCACAACAGUAUGUAACACAUGUUAGAUGCGUGAAAGAUGCAAUUGCAUCGCUAGUAGAUGGACCUGCGUUGGAUUAGCUAGUAGGUAGGGUAAAGGCCUAACUAGGCAACGAUACAUGGCCGACCUGAGAGGGGUAUCGGCCACACUGGGACUGAGACACAGCCCAGACUCCUACGUGAGGCAGCAGUAGGGAAUCUUCGGCAAUGGGGGGAACCCUGACCGAGCAACGUCGCGUGAGUGAAGAAGGUUUUCGGAUCGUAAAGCUCUGUUGUUAAGGAAGAACGAGUGUGAGAAUGGAAAGUUCAUGCUGUGACGGUACUUAACCAGAAAGGGACGGCUAACUACGUGCCAGCCGCCGCCGUAA